GCUUCCGUGGCUCAGUUGGAAGAGCGCUGGUCUCAUAAUCCAAAGGUCGCAAGUUCGAGCCUUGCCGGGAGCA
rnacentral:tRNA from 1 species